UACGUAGGUCCCGAGUGUUGUCCGGAUUUAUUGGGCGUAAAGCGAGCGCAGGUGGUUUAUUAAGUCUGGUGUAAAAGGCAGUGGCUCAACCAUUGUAUGCAUUGGAAACUGGUAGACUUGAGUGCAGGAGAGGAGAGUGGAAUUCCAUGUGUAGCGGUGAAAUGCGUAGAUAUAUGGAGGAACACCGGUGGCGGAAGCGGCUCUCUGGCCUGUAACUGACACUGAGGCUCGAAAGCGUGGGGAGCAAACAGG
rnacentral:rRNA from 1 species